rnacentral:lncRNA from 1 species
UCCAAAAUAGCCUCAUCUUCACUCUCAAUUUCCUCUUGUGACUCCUGAAUGAACAUCAUUCUCUUGUUUGGAUAUUCAGAGACUAUAUGACCAUAACCCAGACACUUGAAACACUUGAAUCUCGACUUCGCCUGGGAGGUUGUGAAUUCUCCAUCUUCUCUUUUUCUUGGGCCGCAUCUAUGGUUUGUUUACUGGAAUCAUCAUUUUCUACUUGUUUUGGAACUGCCUUAGAGACGGGCCAUGGUGACAAGGAAGACGAGUUGGUGGUCUUACUCGGCUUAUUUGCAUCAUGCUUGCGCUGUUUCUUCACCUUAACAGCAAGUUUGAUCACAUCGUCAAGGAAUACAUAAGAUUGCAACUCUACAGUAUCAGCAAUCUCUUUGUUUAAGCAUCCUAAGAAUCUUGCAAUGAUCUAUUCUUGAGGUUCUCGUAAAUCGUACCUCAUCAUCAGCAUCUCAAAUCUUUUGACAUAAUCCUCAAUGCACAUGGCC